UAAGGAAUAUUGGUCAAUGGACGCAAGUCUGAACCAGCCAUGCCGCGUGCAGGAAGACGGCCCUAUGGGUUGUAAACUGCUUUUGUACGGGAAAAAACCCCGGGUUUCGUACCUGGGCUGAUGGUACCGUAAGAAUAAGGAUCGGCUAACUCCGUGCCAGCAGCCGCGGUAAUACGGAGGAUCCAAGCGUUAUCCGGAUUUAUUGGGUUUAAAGGGUGCGCAGGCGGAAUGAUAAGUCAGUGGUGAAAUCCUACGGCUCAACUGUAGAACUGCCAUUGAUACUGUCAUUCUUGAGUAUAAUUGAUGUGGGCGGAAUGUGUCAUGUAGCGGUGAAAUGCUUAGAUAUGACACAGAACACCGAUCGCGAAGGCAGCUCACAAAGCUAUAACUGACGCUCAGGCACGAAAGCGUGGGGAUCAAACA
rnacentral:rRNA from 1 species